CUGAGUCAGUGUGGAGGUUAUAUACAGGGGGUACCGGUACUGAGUCAGUGUGGAGGUUAUAUACAGGGGGUACCAGUACUGAGUCAGUGUGGAGGUUAUAUACAGGGGGUACCAGUACUGAGUCAGUGUGGAGGUUAUAUACAGGGGGUACCGGUACUGAGUCAGUGUGGAGGUUAUAUACAGGGGGUACCAGUACUGAGUCAAUGUGGAGGCUAUAUACAGGGGGUACCAGUACUGAGUCAAUGUGGAGGUUAUAUACAGGGGGUACCGGUACUGAGUCAGUGUGGAGGCUAUAUACAGGGGGUACCGGUACAGAGUCAGUGUGGAGGUUAUAUACAGGGGUACCGGUACUGAGUCAGUGUGGAGGCUAUAUACAGGGGGCACCGGUACUGAGUCAGUGUGGAGGCUAUAUACAGGGGGUACCGGUACAGAGUCAGUGUGGAGGUUAUAUACAGGGGGUACCAGUACUGAGUCAGUGUGGAGGUUAUAUACAGGGGGUACCGGUACUGAGUCAAUGUGGAGGUUAUAUACAGGGGGUACCGGUACUGAGUCAGUGUGGAGGUUAUAUACAGGGGGUACCAGUACUGAGUCAGUGUGGAGGCUAUAUACAGGGGGUACCGGUACUGAGUCAAUGUGGAGGUUAUAUACAGGGGGUACCGGUACUGAGUCAAUGU
ensembl:lncRNA